rnacentral:lncRNA from 1 species
UUUGGUCCAUUUGCAAGGUGGAUUGAUGAAGCGCGGGCCCCCAUGUGCGUGAAGAUUGUGUUUUGGCCCAUUCGCGAAUGGAGAGAGCUUGGGCUGUGCGCUUGGUUCUGUUCACGUGAUUUGAUGAGGUGCGGGCCCCAUGCUGUCCAUUGCGUGAAUGGGCUGAGUGCGGGAAUUGUGCGGGAGUGGGCCAUGCAAUUGCGGAUCCAUGUGCUGUCCACGGGGGAAAUGAGCGCUGAGCCCAUGUGAAUUGGUCCAUUUGCAAGGUGAGCUUGCAUGGGCUGUCCAAGCUUGAAUAUUUAAGCCUCAAAAUAUUUUCCUUUUACUUCAAAUAAGGCAGUUUUAGGGGGUUUUCUCCAAAUUGUCCUUUUACACCAUUUUCUGCAAAAU